rnacentral:rRNA from 1 species
CCUGGUUGAUCCUUCUAAUAGUCAUAUGCUUGUCUCAAAGAUUAAGCCAUGCAUGUGUAAGUAUGAAUAAAUUCAGACUGCAAAACUGCGAAUGGCUCAUUAAAUGAAAUAUAGUUUGUUUGGUGGUUUUUACUACUCAGAUAAUCGUAGUAAUUCUAGAGCUAAUACGUGCAAAAAACUCUAACUUCUUGAAGGAAUACAUUUAUUAGAUAAAAGGUCAAUGUGGGCUGUACCCAUUGCUGUGAUAAUUCAUGAUACUCAACGGAUCGUAUGACCAACAUGCCGGCGACGCAUCAUUUUAAUUUCUGUGCUAUCAAGUUUUGAUGGUAGGAUAGUGGCCUAGUAUGGUGGUGAUUGGUGACAGAGAAUUAGGGUUCAAUUUCAAAAAGGGAGCUCGAGAAAUGGCUACCACAUCCAAGGAAGGCAGUAGGCGCACAAAUUACCCAAUCCUAACACGGGGAGGUAGUGACAAUAAAUAACAAUACCGGGCUCAAUGAGUCUAGUAAUUGGAAUGAGUACAAUCUAAAUCCCUUAAUGAGGAUCCAUUGGAUGGAGAGUCUGGUGCCAGCAGCCGCGGUAAUUCCAUUACCAAAAACAUAUAUUUAAGUUAUUGCAGUUAAAAAGCUCAAAGUUGGACUCUAGGAUUGGCCGACCGGUCCGCCUAUGGUGUGCAGUGGUCGUCUCAUCCCUUCUGUCGGUGAUGCGCUCUUGGCCUUAACUAGCCGGGUCAUGCCUUCAGUGUUGUUACUUUAAAGAAAUUAGGGUGCUUAAAGCAAGCUUGCUCUCUGUAUACAUUAGCAUAGGAUAACAUUGUAGGAUUUCGGUCCUAUUACGUUGGCCUUUGGGAUUGAAGCAAUGAUUAAUAGGGACAGUCGGGGGCAUUUGUAUUUCACAGUCAGAGCUGAAAUUAUUGGAUUAAUGAACUACGAACAACUGUAAAAGCAUUUUCCGAGGAUGUUUUCAUUAAUAAAUAACGAAUGUUGGGGGAUCGAAGGCGAUCAGAUACCGUACUAGUAUCAAUCAUAAAUGAUUCUGACAAGGGAUCGGCGGAUGUUACUUUAUAGAACUCCGCCGACACCUUUUGAGAUUUUAUAGUUUUUGGGUUACGGGGGGAGUAUGAUCACAAGGCUGAAACUUAAAGGAAUUGAUGGAAGGGUACCCCAGGAGUAGAGCCUGCAGCUUAGUUUGACUCAACACGGGGUAACUUACCAGGUCCAGACAUAGUAACGAUUGACAGACUGAGAGCUCUUUCUUAAUUCUCUGGGUGGUGGUGCAUGGCCGUUUUAGUUGGUGGAGUGAUUUGUCUUGUUAAUUUUGUUACCAAAUGAGACCUCACGCUACUAACUAGCUAUGCGGAGGUAUCCCUUUGCGGCCAGCUUCUUAGAGGGACUACGACCUUUUAGGCCGCAAAUGUUUGAUGCAAUAAUAGGUCUGUGACUCCCUUAGAUAUUUUGGGCCACACGCGUUCUACACUUAUCUAUUAAAUAAGUUUAUUGCCUUGGCCAACAAGCCCGGUUAAUCUUUGAAAUUUCAUCGUGAUGGUGAUAGGUCAUUGCAAUUAUGGUCUUUAACGAGGAAUUCCUAGUAAGGGUGAGUCAUUGGAUCGUGUUGACUACGUCCCUAUCCUUUGUACACACCGCCCGUCGCUCCUACCGAUUGAAUGAUCUAGUGAAAUAUUUGGAUUACGGCGAUAUGGGCGAUUCACUGCCCACGAUGUCGUGAGAAGUCCAUUGAACCUUAUCAUUUAGAGGAAGGACAGUUCAUAACAAGGUUUCCGUAGGUGAACCUGCGGAAG